rnacentral:rRNA from 1 species
UAUUCCCCACUGCUGCCUCCCGUAGGAGUCUGGACCGUGUCUCAGUUCCAGUGUGGCCGUUCGACCUCUCAGUCCGGCUAUGGAUCGCUGCUUUGGUGGGCCGUUACCCCGCCAACUGGCUAAUCCAACGCGGGUCCAUCUUAUACCACCGGAGUUUUUCACACUCGAAGAUGCCUUCGUGUGCGCUUAUGCGGUAUUAGCAGUCAUUUCUAACUGUUAUCCCCCGGUAUAAGGCAGGUUCCCCACGCGUUACUCACCCGUCCGCCACUCGGUUCAUAUUUCCUCUUACCGAAGUAAUUGUCCAUGUGAACCUCGUUCGACUUGCAUGUGUUAAGCACGCCGCCAGCGUUCAUCCUGAGCCAA